AAUGCCCUGCGGUGUUCGAAAUAGAUGCGAACGUUAAAACCCACUAAAGAGUAAAAAGGAGCCCGGACUUCCGGCCGGGGGAUGCAGACCUCCCUCCGCAGCCGUGAGACGCAUUCCGCGCCGCCGCAGCGAGCAGGACGCUGGGAGCACAAACCGUCGGAGAGGGCACCGUCCUUGCGUGAGCAGGGUUUCUAAAUGUUCGCUUUGAAACGGCACUGCGGGGCUUUU
rnacentral:other from 1 species